ACCCGCUGAACUUAAGCAUAUCAAUAAGCGGAGGAAAAGAAACCAACAGGGAUUGCCCCAGUAACGGCGAGUGAAGCGGCAACAGCUCAAAUUUGAAAUCUGGCUUCGGCCCGAGUUGUAAUUUGUAGAGGAUGCUUUUGGUGAGGUGCCUUCUGAGUUCCCUGGAACGGGACGCCAGAGAGGGUGAGAGCCCCGUAUAGUCGGCCACCGAUCCUCUGUAAAGCUCCUUCGACGAGUCGAGUAGUUUGGGAAUGCUGCUCAAAAUGGGAGGUAUAUCUCUUCUAAAGCUAAAUAUUGGCCAGAGACCGAUAGCGCACAAGUAGAGUGAUCGAAAGAUGAAAAGCACUUUGAAAAGAGGGUUAAAUAGCACGUGAAAUUGUUGAAAGGGAAGCGCUUGUGACCAGACUUGUGCCGGGCUGAUCAUCCAGUGUUCUCACUGGUGCACUCGACCCGGCUCAGGCCAGCGUCGGUUCUCGCGGGGGGAUAAAAGCUUCGGGAACGUGGCACCUCCGGGUGUGUUAUAGCCCGCUGCUUAAUACCUUCGCGGGGACCGAGGUUCGCGCUCUGCAAGGACGCUGGCAUAAUGGUCAUCAGCGACCCGUCUUGAAACACGGACCAAGGAGUCGAGGUUUUGCGCGAGUGUUUGGGUGUAAAACCCGCACGCGUAAUGAAAGUGAACGUAGGUGAGAGCUUCGGCGCAUCAUCGACCGAUCCUGAUGUAUUCGGAUGGAUUUGAGUAAGAGCGUAUAGCCUCGGACCCGAAAGAUGGUGAACUAUGCCUGAAUAGGGUGAAGCCAGAGGAAACUCUGGUGGAGGCUCGCAGCGGUUCUGACGUGCAAAUCGAUCGUCAAA
rnacentral:rRNA from 1 species